CGGGCAGGUAAGAGUCCUUGGUGGUUUGG
rnacentral:piRNA from 1 species